CCUACGGGACGCAGCAGUGGGGAAUAUUGGGCAAUGGGCGCAAGCCUGACCCAGCAACGCCGCGUGAAGGAAGAAGGUUUUCGGAUCGUAAAACUCUGUUGGUAGAGAAGAACGUUGGUGAGAGUGGAAAGCUCAUCAAGUGACGGUAACUACCCAGAAAGGGACGGCUAACUACGUGCCAGCAGCCGCGGUAAUACGUAGGUCCCGAGCGUUGUCCGGAUUUAUUGGGCGUAAAGCGAGCGCAGGUGGUUUAUUAAGUCUGGUGUAAAAGGCAGUGGCUCAACCAUUGUAUGCAUUGGAAACUG
rnacentral:rRNA from 1 species